AGUGGAUGGGGAACAACCUAGUUGUGCGUGUGUAAAGGUAGUGCCAAGAAAAAGCGGUGAUCAUGAUGAAAAUCAAUUCCCGGUACCCGAAACCGACACAGGUGGGCAAGUAGAGAAUACUAAGGGGCGCGAGGUAACUCUCUCCAAGGAACUCGGCAAAAUGACCCCGUAACUUAGGGAGAAGGGGUGCCACCGAGAGGUGGUCGCAGUGAAGAGGCCCAGGCGACUGUUUAGCAAAAACAUAGGUCUCUGCAAACUCGAAAGAGGAGGUAUAGGGGCUGACGCCUGCCCAGUGCCGGAAGGUUAAAGAAGUUGGUCAGUCUUAGGAUGAAGCUAGCGACUGAAGCCCCGGUGAACGGCGGCCGUAACUAUAACGGUCCUAAGGUAGCGAAAUUCCUUGUCGGGUAAGUUCCGACCCGCACGAAAGGCGUAACGAUCUGGGCGCUGUCUCGGAGAGAGGCUCGGCGAAAUAGGAUUGUCUGUGAAGAUACGGACUACCUGCAUUUGGACAGAAAGACCCUAUGAAGCUUUACUAUAGCUUGGAAUUGUGUUCGGGCUUCCUGUGCGCAGGAUAGGUGGGAGGCGUAGAAGGUAUUCUUGUGGGGAUACUGGAGCCAACGGUGAGAUACCACUCUCAGGAGGCUAGAAUUCUAACUUAAUUAAGGACAGUUUCAGGUGGGUAGUUUGACUGGGGCGGUCGCCUCCAAAAAGGUAACGGAGGCGUACAAAGGUUCCCUCAGACUGGUUGGAAAUCCGUCGCAGAGUGCAAAGGCAGAAGGGAGCUUGACUGCGAGAAGUACAGUUCGAGCAGGGUGGAAACACGGUCUUAGUGAUCCGACGGUGCUGUGUGGAAGGGCCGUCGUUCAACGGAUAAAAGUUACUCUAGGAUAACAGGCUGAUCUCCCCCAAGAGUUCACAUCGACGGGGAGGUUUGGCACCUCGAUGUCGGCUCAUCGCAACCUGGGGCGGAAGUACGUCCCAAGGGUUGGGCUGUUCGCCCAUUAAAGCGGUACGUGAGCUGGGUUCAGAACGUCGUGAGACAGUUCGGUCCAUAUCCGAUGUAGGCGUGAGAAUAUUGAGAGGAGCCUUCCUUAGUACGAGAGGACCGGGAAGGACGCACCGCUGGUGUACCUGUUAUGAUGCCAAUUGUAAACGCAGGGUAGCCAAGUGCGGAGAGGAUAACCGCUGAAAGCAUCUAAGUGGGAAGCCCACCUCAAGAUGAGUAUUCUGGUGUAAGGUCACGGGAAGACGACCCGUAAAUAGGCACGAGGUGGAAGUGCAGAGAUGUAUGAAGCCGAAGUGUACUAAUAGACCGUCGGCUUGACC
rnacentral:rRNA from 1 species